GAGAUCUUCCGCAAUGGGAGAAAGCCUGACAGAGCGACACUGCGUGAACGAAGAAGGUCGAAAGAUUGUAAAGUUCUUUUAUAAGUGAGGAAUAAGCUUUGUAGGAAAUGACAAAGUGAUGACGUUAAUUUAUGAAUAAGCCCCGGCUAAUUACGUGCCAGCAGCCGCGGUAAUAC
rnacentral:rRNA from 1 species